rnacentral:rRNA from 1 species
UACGAAGGGGGCUAGCGUUGUUCGGAAUUAUUGGGCGUAAAGCGCGUGUAGGCGGCUUUGCAAGUCGGGUGUGAAAGCCCUCAGCUUAACUGAGGAAGUGCGCCCGAAACUGCAGAGCUUGAGUACCGGAGAGGGUGGCGGAAUUCCCCAAGUAGAGGUGAAAUUCGUAGAUAUGGGGAGGAACACCGGUGGCGAAGGCGGCCACCUGGACGGAUACUGACGCUGAGACGCGAAAGCGUGGGUAGCAAACAGG